CAGAGAAACAGAUGGACUACAGUCUGUAACUGUAGAACUACAGAGUGCUACUCUUUGUUACACACUUACAAAACGCUGCCCACAGGACACUGUUGGCUGGAUAUUUUUGGUUGGUGGACUAUUCUCAGUCCAGCAGUGACACUGAGACCAGCGCAACACACACUAACACACCGCCUACUACAAAGUGCAGCUGUCCAGUAAGUGGAGCUGAUAAGAUGGACAAUGAGCGCAGACAGAAGGAGGUGGACGUGACGUUACGUACAUUUGCUAUUUUAAUUAUAAGAAACUAAAAAUAAUAAUAAUCUGGAAUCAGUGUUUUCAGUAAUAUGAAUCCAAUUUAGUGGGAAUCAAGUGAUUCUAAUGAAGCCUGUACAACUUCACAGCUUUCAAAUAAGUAUUAGGACACUAGGAAGCCAUCACUGAAUAAAAACGAAAACAUUCUAGAUGUGUCCAGAAUGAUGAUUGAUUCCAGAAAGACCGGAAACACUGUACGUCACUGAGAAGGACGUUUAAUAAAAUUAAAAUCCAGAAUUCAUCAUAUUACAAAAGUCAAUUACAAGAAAAACAACAAAAAAUAUUGUGAAUAUUAGGGCUGAGCAAUAUGACAAUAUAUAUCAUUAUCGUGAUGCAUUCUGUCAAAAUACAAUACAGAAUGAUGCUUUUCUGUGUCACCAGUACUAGAAGACACGGACUGACCGCGUGUCUCGUUUAUAAAGAGAGUGAAAUCGCUGUUUAGUGCAACACCGUGUGCCAAAUGCUGAAUAAAGAUCUUUGUAUUUGUCA